UACGGGAGGCAGCAGUGGGGAAUUUUGCGCAAUGGGCGAAAGCCUGACGCAGCGACGCCGCGUGGAGGAUUAAGGCCUUCGGGUUGUAAACUCCUGUCAGAGGUGAAGAAAGUCUCCUUCGGGAGACCUGACGGUAACCUCAGAGGAAGCCCCGGCUAACUACGUGCCAGCAGCCGCGGUAAU
rnacentral:rRNA from 1 species